AUACGUAGGUGGCGAGCGUUGUCCGGAUUUACUGGGCGUAAAGGGAGCGUAGGCGGAUUUUUAAGUGAGAUGUGAAAUACUCGGGCUUAACCUGAGUGCUGCAUUUCAAACUGGAAGUCUAGAGUGCAGGAGGAGGAGAAGGGAAUUCCUAGUGUAGCGGUGAAAUGCGUAGAGAUUAGGAAGAACACCAGUGGCGAAGGCGCUUCCUCUGGACUGUAACUGACGCUGAGGCUCGAAAGCGUGGGGAGC
rnacentral:rRNA from 1 species